rnacentral:lncRNA from 1 species
GUUUAAACUUACACGAAUCGCUCUCUUGAGGAGGAGGGAACCGCCGCGCGAUUGACACGCAUAUUCCUAUAGGCAUCCUCCCUCAGCCCCCACCCCCACGGCCGGAUUCGGGUGGCUCCUCUCCGAGCUGAAAUCCGAGAAGAAAUCUCCUUGGAUCUCUUGUUAAAAAAAAAAAAAAAAAAAAAAUCCAGAAACCGUCGGUAUUUUGCUUUCCUGCUUCCUUUUCGCAUGAUGAAGAAGUUUUUCGACUCCAGGCGAGAGCAGGGUGGCUCUGGCCUGGGCUCCGGCUCCAGCGGAGGAGGGGGCAGCACCUCGGGCCUGGGCAGCGGCUACAUCGGACGGGUCUUUGGCAUUGGGCGACAGCAGGUCACUGUGGACGAGGUGCUGGCGGAAGGUGGAUUUGCCAUCGUGUUUCUGGUGAGGACAAGCAAUGGAAUGAAAUGUGCCUUGAAACGCAUGUUUGUCAACAACGAGCAUGAUCUCCAGGUGUGCAAGAGAGAAAUCCAGAUAAUGAGGGACCUGUCGGGGCAUAAGAACAUCGUGGGUUACAUUGACUCCAGUAUCAACAGUGUGAGUAGCGGUGAUGUGUGGGAAGUUCUCAUCCUGAUGGACUUCUGCAGGGGAGGCCAAGUGGUCAACCUGAUGAACCAGCGCCUGCAAACAGGUUUUACAGAAAAUGAAGUACUCCAGAUAUUUUGUGACACCUGUGAAGCUGUCGCCCGCCUGCAUCAGUGCAAAACUCCUAUUAUCCACCGUGACUUGAAGGUUGAGAAUAUUCUCUUGCAUGACCGAGGCCACUAUGUCCUGUGUGACUUUGGAAGUGCUACCAACAAAUUCCAGAACCCACAAACGGAAGGAGUCAAUGCAGUAGAAGAUGAGAUUAAGAAGUACACAACGCUGUCCUAUCGCGCACCAGAGAUGGUCAACCUGUAUAGUGGCAAGGUCAUCACGACGAAGGCAGACAUUUGGGCUCUCGGAUGUUUGUUGUAUAAAUUAUGUUACUUCACUUUGCCAUUUGGGGAGAGUCAAGUGGCAAUUUGUGAUGGAAACUUCACAAUUCCUGAUAACUCUCGAUAUUCCCAAGACAUGCACUGCCUAAUUAGGUAUAUGUUGGAACCAGACCCUGACAAAAGGCCGGAUAUUUACCAGGUUUCCUACUUCUCAUUUAAACUACUCAAGAAAGAAUGCCCAAUUCCAAAUGUACAGAACUCUCCCAUUCCUACAAAGCUCCCUGAACCAGUGAAAGCCAGUGAGGCAGCUGCAAAGAAGACCCAGCCAAAGGCCAGACUGACAGAUCCCAUUCCCACUACAGAGACGUCAAUUGCACCCCGCCAGAGGCCUAAAGCUGGGCAGACUCAGCCCAACCCAGGAAUCCUCCCCAUCCAACCAGCCCUGACCCCUCGGAAGAGGGCCACAGUUCAGCCCCCACCUCAAGCCGCAGGAUCCAGCAAUCAGCCUGGUCUUUUAGCCAGUGUUCCUCAACCAAAAACGCAGCCCCCACCCAGUCAACCGCUACCACAGUCUCAGCCCAAGCAGCCUCAGGCUCCUCCCACCUCACAGCAGCCGCCUUCCACACCAGCCCAGGCUCUGCCCACCCAGGCCCAGGCCACACCCCAGCACCAGCAGCAACUCUUCCUCAAGCAGCAGCAGCAGCAGCAGCAGCAGCAGCAGCAGACAGCGCCAUCUGCACAGCAGCCAGUGGGCACGUUCUACCAGCAGCCGCAGCAGCAGGCCCAGGCUCCGCAGUUUCAGGCAGUACACCCAGCAGCCCAGCAACCAGUGAUCGCUCAGUUCCCUGUGGUAUCUCAAGGAAGCUCUCAACAGCAGCUGAUACAAAACUUCUACCAGCAGCAGCAGCAGCAACAGCAGCUGGCCACAGCCCUGCAUCAACAACAGCUGCUGACUCAGCAGGCUGCCUUGCAGCAGAAGACGACAGUGGCGGCUGUACCGCAGCCCCAAGCACAGCCGGCCACAGCAGCCUCGCCAGCCCCUGCCCAGGAGCCAGCGAUUCAGGCCCCAGUAAGACAACAGCCGAAGGUUCAGACAACCCCACCUCCUACCAUCCAGGGGCAGAAACUUGGAUCUCUCACUCCUCCAUCAUCCCCCAAGGCCCAGCGUGCUGGGCACAGGCGAAUUCUCAGCGAUGUGACCCACAGCGCAGUCUUUGGGGUCCCUGCCAGCAAAUCAACCCAGCUGCUCCAAGCAGCUGCAGCUGAGGCCAGUCUCAAUAAGUCCAAGUCUGCAACCACCACUCCUUCAGGCUCCCCUCGGGCCUCCCAGCAAAAUGUUUAUAAUCCUUCAGAAGGUUCUACGUGGAAUCCCUUUGAUGACGACAAUUUCUCCAAACUCACAGCUGAAGAACUGCUAAACAAGGACUUUGCCAAGCUGGGGGAAGGCAAAUAUCCUGAGAAGCUUGGAGGCUCUGCUGAGAGUUUGAUCCCAGGCUUUCAACCAACCCAAGGUGAUGCUUUUGCUGCUCCCUCAUUUUCCGCUGGAACUGCUGAAAAAAGGAAGGGUGGGCAGACUGUGGAUUCUAGCCUUCCUCUUCUAAGUGUAUCUGAUCCUUUCAUUCCUCUUCAAGUACCUGAUGCACCAGAAAAACUAAUUGAGGGACUCAAAUCUCCUGACACUUCUCUUCUGCUCCCUGACCUCUUGCCUAUGACAGAUCCUUUUGGUAGCACUUCUGAUGCUGUAAUUGAAAAAGCUGACGUUGCUGUUGAGAGUCUGAUACCAGGACUGGAGCCCCCGGUGCCUCAGCGCCUCCCAUCUCAGACGGAAUCUGUGACCUCGAACCGUACAGCUGCGGAAGAUAGUAAUCUCAUCUCAGGUUUUGAUGUCCCUGAGGGCUCGGACAAGGUGGCAGAAGAUGAGUUUGACCCUAUUCCUGUAUUGAUAACCAAAAACCCACAAGGUCUCCAGAGAGAGCCCAUUCCCUCUCCUGUAAUAACUGUAGAGCACUUUAAAGAAUCGACGGGUGUUAAAGGCCUUCCCCUGUACCCGGACCCCUCCCGGGUACCUGGCACGAAAACUCAGAACAGUCUAGAAUCUGACUACUUGGCCCGAGAUGGCCCUUCCAGCAACAGUUCGUUCCACAGCAGUGAAGAGGAGGGGACCGACCUCGAGGGGGACAUGCUGGACUGCAGUGGCUCUCGCCCUCUGCUCUUGGAGUCGGAGGAAGAGGAUGAGAGCUGCAAGCCUCCGCAGGGGAAGCUAGGAGGAGCCACUCCCUUCACUCAGCCGGAGGUCACUUCCGCGCAGGCCAAGGCCUCGCAAGGUGGGAGGAAGAACCAAUUCGGAGCCCUCACCCAGCCGACCGCUGAUGGACUCGGUGAGCCAGAUGUGUUUGCCACUGCUCCCUUCCGGAGUUCAAGGAUUCCCGCUGAUGACAUUUUUGCCAAAGCCCCCUUUGUCUCCAAGGGCAACGUGGCCCUUUCCCAGCCAGAGGAGACGGAUGUGUUCUUGAGAGCUCCCUUUACCAAGAAGAAAGGCAUGGAGGAGUCAGCAGUUGCCCAGAGCCCCGCCCAGGAGCAGCCCGGUCUCCUCAGUCAGACCGAUGACAUCCCUCUGCUCCCAGGCCUGGAUCGAGCCGUGUACCCGUCCGCCCGAGCUCAGUAUUCCACUGCUGGCUUUGCCCAGCCGUCUAACCUCCCCUCCCAUCCUGUACAAGCAGCAGACCAUCUUGACAGCAUCUCUUCCAGGGGCUCUUCCCUGGAAUCUGGGGCCCAUCCUAAUGACAGAAACAAAGGACCUCAGCCCCAGAAAGAAGCUGUCUCAGGCCCCGUGGCAGGCAAACCAUUCCGCCCCCAGUCUUUAUCCAAAUAUUCCCGUCACUAUAGCCCGGAAGAUGAGCCGAAUCCAGAAGCCCAGCCCAUUGCUGCCUACAAAAUUGUUUCGCAAACCAAUAAGCAGUCGAUAGCUGGCUCCGUUUCCAUCACAUCCCUUGCCUCCAGGACUACGGAGCUGCCAGCUGCUGAUCCUUUUGCUUUAGCACCCUUUCCUUCAAAGUCAGGCAAACAGAAACCUUAGGAGCCAUGCCUGAGCCUCAGGCCUCUGUCUCUACCCUACCCUCAAUACCCACCACAUCACUCCCAGCUGAGCCUUCCUGAGAAGAUUUAUAUCAAUUAUUCUCUUUCAGUUCCGUGAGUCAGAGCAGAACUUCUUGAGUCAACAAACUCAGUCGAGGUGAUACUUAGUUGAAACUCCCUUAAGUUAUGCUCAUUGCUUUUGUUUAUAUUGAUUUCUGGACUUUGGGUGAGUGUGUCCAUCUUCACCUCCACCCAGAACUCUGCUUUCUGUUGUGUGCCUAGAAACUGUUUUAAUCUCAAACUGCUUGUCAGUAAAUCCAGAAAUAACUUCCCGAAGGGGCCAUGGUAUUGCUACUUUGAUUCCUGUAGUUCCUGUUCUGAGUCAUGUCUAAUGAGGAAUUAAGAUGAGUUCCUCCCAGACUUGGUUUCAUACUCUUGAAAAGGGUACAUUUCAGGAAAGAAACACAAGAUAAAAAUUCUGCUCAUCAAAAGGAAGUGUGAUCCUGAAGAUACUAAUCAUUCCUCUAAAACCAGCAACUCUAGAAAGCUUCUCUGGAUCUGAGUCUGUAGGCCACCCUGGUCCUCAUGCGUGAGUGUCGGUGGGUGUGUAAUGUGUGUUAGAUCCUUACCUUUGUAGAGAUGCAAACAUGAGAUUUCUGUGCUGGUGUCUGAUAGUGUGGAGCCUUCUCCCACGUGCACACUUUAAAAAUUCAUGUGAGUGCACAGCUGUGUGUGUACACUUCUGUUUGCACAGGAAACGUUCUUCCUUUAGGUAAAUCCUGUCCCACCUCGCGUACCUCCACAAUCACUCAUUUGCUGGUAUUUGUUCUCCUAACCUAACUUACGUGAACCCUGUUUUUAUUGCAUUCUUUUCUCAUGGCAAAAUUUAAUUUAUUGGAAUGAGUAGGAAAAUCCUGCUGGAAUGCAAUUUUCUAAGUAGAUUGUUUUUUCCUUUAGAAUUUGCUAUUAACAUUUCAUUUACAAAGUCUUGAAAAAUUAAC